CUUCAAGGCUCAACAUGAAGGUUAGGGCUGUGACUCAACUGGUAGAAUCCUUACCUACCAUGCACAAGGCCCUGGGUUUCAUCCCUAGCACCAUACACACCAGGUAUAUAGGUGCACAACGGUAGUCCAGCAUUUGGGAGGUAGAAACAGAGGAAGAUCUCAAGUUCAAGACUGUCCGCAACUACACAAUCAGAUAGAGAACUCUCAGCUACCUUUCCAGUGCCGUGUCUGUCUGGAAGCUGCCAUGUUUUUCACCAUGACAACAAUGGACUAAACCUCUGAACUGUCCAGCCCUGUUGACAAGCGAAAGUCACUCAGCUCUCGAUCCUGGACCUACCCACAGCCCCGCUCUACACUGGCAAAGGGACCCAGAAUAUCAAGGAAAGGGGAAAGGAACAGGAGGGUUCCUGUCUCCGCCUAGGUUCCAAGACAUCGCCUUCACCCACUCCCGGGGCUUGGCAACUGGACACGGAAGCAAAACCCAGGAAGCUACUGGUUGACUGAAAGAGGGAGGGGAUCAAAAAAGCAAGAUGAAAAAAAGGAGAAAUUCGAAAGAGGGGACCGUCAAGUGGAAAGCUCUACCCAUUCUCUUAGCAAAAGGUAGAAUCUCUGACCAAUUCCCAACCCUAGGAUUCCACCCUCUGCCCCCUUUUCUAGUUAAAGGAUCACCCGAAGCACCAUAAAAGUCUUUGAAGGGUUUCUGAAGCCAUCCGGACACGCGGAAAAGCCUAACUCGCCUGGACCCGCACAAUGUACGAAACGGCGCAGGGAUCGGGUCCCUUGAGCGUCUCCCACGACCCUAUCAAGCUGCCCACAGGACGCCUGAGUAACGCGCCCUGUCCCCGGGCCGGUGCUGCAGUGUUCUCGCAAAGGACAGGUACUCCCCAGACCGGGAGUCGCCAGGGUUUCGUCCCGUGCCUCCCACGCCGCCAUCCGCCACAAGGCAAAGGAAGAAAGCGCAUGGGGCGACCGGGGACUGGCCGCACCAAGUCGGUCGUCAGGUGAUGUCGGCUAGCUCAGCAUGAACCCCGGAGCGGCGCCACUGGAAAGCCACAGUGCCCAGGGAGAAGACGGGGUGAGCGCGAGGACCUACCGCGGU